rnacentral:rRNA from 1 species
UACGGAGGAGGCAAGCGUUAUCCGGAAUUAUUGGGCGUAAAGCGUCCGCAGGUGGCACCUCAAGUCUGCUGUCAAAGACCGGGGCUUAACCCCAGAAAGGCAGUGGAAACUGAAGUGCUAGAGUGCAGUAGGGGUAGAGGGAAUUCCCGGUGUAGCGGUGAAAUGCGUAGAGAUCGGGAAGAACAUCGGUGGCGAAAGCGCUCUGCUGGACUGCAACUGACACUCAGGGACGAAA